AAAUAAAAUUGUCACUACCUAAAUGUUUUACCCCUUUGUUCUUAUUUUAAAGUUUUGUAAAAAGGAAUUCUUUAUUCUUUUUUUUUUUUUUUAAUUUAACGGGGGACCUGGAGGUCCUCUUACCAUAGAGAUGAGUGAGGAUAAACCAGCCCACAGUGACAGGAAGUAGGACCCAGGAGCCCCCUGCUGGGCCAACAGCAGUUGGUCAGGGCUGUCAGUUGCUGACAGUCAGGAGAGUCAGUUGCUGACAAUUAGGGCUGGGAGUUGCAGGGAAGUUGGCUGCUUGGAGAUGAAAUAUGUGAAAACAAAAUCUUCAGCAGAGAAAAUAUACAUCCUAACAAUCAAUGGCAGCAAAGACAAAUAUCUUGGAGCACAUGGACCAUUCUCAUUGGAUUCAAACUUUCAUCAGUGAGAUGGAUAUUUAUACCUAUAGGAAUUACGUCUAAUGAUGUAGAUAUGAAUCUAUCCAUACAGACUUCUUCAUUAUUAUUUAUUUAUCCUAAAGGGUCCAUCCAAUGUGUUGAAAGUCUUCCUCAAGCACUUCAAUCAUAUCAAGAGAAGAAAUGGAGAAUUCUGUAGAUAUGUAUACAGAAUAUAUUUGUGUGCACAUGUGUUUGUAAAAUCUCAGUCAUUUGUCUCUCUUUCUGGCAUGCAUCUUUUAUUUCUAAUCAUCUUUAAAGUUAUUUGUUGAUCAUAACUUGAAACCUACACAUGCCUAUAAUUUGCCUUUUCAUUGCCAUCUGGAUAACAUUAAUUUUUAUUUCUUUGGAGGCAAUGGUAUUCCAAGAUUAACUGCCUUGUAGCAAUAGUGGUAAAAUAUCCAAAUUGAAAAGAUGACUCUUUGCUGAUAUGGGAAACUUAGGUUCACAAAACUGCUUUGGGAUUUCCCAAAACAGUCUAGUCCCUUGUUCUCUUAAUUUUCAGUUCUGGACCCCACUCAUUUUCCAUCAGAAUUGUAUUUAUUAGCUAUACAACAUUUUAAACAAGUUGUGUGAGGUGCUAAAACCUGUGUAAUAGACAUUCUUCAUCAAUUUGAUUUUCCUUGUCAUGGUGAACAGGCCAAACUCUUUUGAGUAAUUUUCAGUCCCUUCAAGAAAGUUCUUUAAUAUGUUAAUUAUUUUAUAUUGAUAUAUACCCAGUAAUUUAUUAAUAUCAUUAUCAGAGUUGAUCUUUUCUCUGAAGAUUUACAAACCCACUGGAAAUUAAAAAUAUCCAAAUAUAUUUAUUUGGGGGAUAGAUGUUUUGUAGUUUGAGGAUAAUGAACAGAAUUUUUCAACUUAUUAUGCUAUGGUGACUAUAUGUAUAUUUAUAUAUGUGUGUAACAUAUACACAUGCAUUCACAUGUACAUAUGAAUUUACAUAUGUUCAUAGAUGUAUUUAUUGUUUUAAUAAAAUUUAUUUUAUACAAUCUC
rnacentral:lncRNA from 1 species